AGUGUUACAUAAAUAAAAAAAAAUAAAUUCAGUCGGUUUAGAGUAUAGUUCAGAUGAAAUAAUCUGUUUAGAAUGAUUUGGCUAAUUGUUUAAAAAUAGUUUAAAAGUGCUGAAAAAGUCGGAAAAAGUCUGCCCUGCGCAUUGUAUGCGCGCCCUCUAGCGGAGGAAAUGUAGAAUCUACACUGUAGAUGUAGAUGAUAGAUGUAGCUCACAUAUGUACAUAUGUAUAUGCUGACUGAGAACGGGUACAAAAGUAGAGUCGUGGCCAUAGAAGCGACUCAACGUUCUCUCUAGUUCAUAUUACAGCUCAAGUGUUUAUACUCUACAUGUAAAUGCAACCACUGUGCAGCGGUGGGGAGCGGACAGAGCAGCAACUUCUGCUGCUACUUCAACGAAUAAAUAUUCAGAAUGCAAUUACGCAUUUAAUUUUCUAGCACUUAUCGAGUCGUCUUACCCUCUUGUUAUUACUUGUCCCUUAUAUUUUUGUUGGUGCUGUACGAGUUGCUGCUGAAAACUUACUUAACUUUUUGCAAUGUCAUUUGGGAAAGUUUGUAAUCUUUUUCGGUAGUGCAUACUUCAAAAGUGUCAAAGGAAAGGAAGCUAAGAAAUUAUUUAUACGAUUUUCAGACAGUCGAAAGCAUAAAACCCGAGCAUUAAUAAAACGCCUUCGCUGCCGGGACUACUUAUUCCCUUCCCUUCGCGCACCCCAUCCCGGGUAGGAGCACGAUCAGACAGGAAGCUACUGACAAACUACCAUGGAGUUUCUCUAACUGCCAGACGAACUUUCAAAAAUGGUGUUUCUACUUUCCAUGCGCUUAAUUUGUGUGCUUUAGGCGAAAGAAGCUGUGGAUAUUCGUUUAAGCGCUUGCCGCUAUUCAAGAAGGCUGAAAUGUUACUUUUCCUUUUCAUUCAGCUGCUGCUCGUGGUAGCCACCGUAGAAGGCAGCGAUGGCAAGUUACAAACCGUCAUCCAUUGAAGUCUGCUAACCAGCUGCCUUCUGAUUAAUGCAAUGUUUUUCUUAGAUAUUUAUCUAUUCACAGGCUCGCAUCCGCAGUCGUAGCUUGCAAGCACUUCGAAGCCGCUGUGCAUAGAACCCUGCAAACGUGCGAGAAACAGAUGGGCAUAUUUCCCGUGUAUUUGCGAUGUUCAUUCAGCUGCAGCAACAGACACCAAUUGAGUGUUUUCAAUUUCCAUCUCCGCACCAAGGAAAAGGACAGCUAUCCACUGUGCAAUGAUCUAUACUGCAGCGCUAUUAGCAUGCCCCCUCAGCCGACCAGCACAACGCCGGCUCCAACAGCGGCAGAAUCUAUACGGUCAUCGGCAGUAGGUAUACAAACAUCAACCGAGGGAGUUUCCGGCUUAAAUGAUAGUUUAGCUACCGGUACAAGCCGUGAUACGAUCCCCAGUAUACAAGUACAUCAGAAAAACAGUACAAAAAGUGACGAAAAGUGAUGGAGUCUCUGAAUCUCCCAAUGUCACCAGCGAAAAGACAGCAGAUACAACAACAGAGUGAACAAGUCAAACCCAAAAAGCAGAUAAACCAACAGAUGAGCCUCAUCAGAAUGAUGAAACAUUAGAGACAUCAUCAGUCUUACGAACAGACACUACAGAACAUACAACAUCAGAUGAACUUACAGAUGCACCAACAGAUGCACUUGUCGAUACACCAGAAGAAAAACUGUCAGAUGCACUUAUCCCUAUCCAUACACAAGAAGAUACGAAAAGAUAAACAUCAACAAGGGAAGUAGUUGAUGCAACGUCAAACUCAAUAGCAGUUAUCUAGGUUGAGUCAGAUCGAAGAGCUAUCGAUGGGAUUGUCUUUUAUUUCACACUGACGAAUCAUCGAUAAUUAUAAUUAAAUGUAGCUAUCGCUUGCACCAGAAACUAAAAUUAAUCGUCGAGUUAACCGAUUAUAGCUAUUGUCUGUACUUUAAAAUUUUUAUUUAUGAGUAGGCUUGUGUGGGGAAACAACAAAUCCAAACAAGAAUAAAUAUAUUUUGUGGGUUCGGAAACAGUUCCUUCUGGAAUCAACAUUCUAAUAAAAUGAGCCACUUUACUCUGGUAUAAAAAAAUAAAAGACGGAAUGACGCAAUGCCUUAAGGACUGCCAUUUGCUCCAAUUUAGCCAUAGUUGGUACAUAUGUAUGCAGUUGCAUAUAUAUUUUUUCUAGAAAAAAGAUCUAAUAGAUCCUACCUCAAAACCAUACAAGGCAGGUAGGGCAUGUGUACACUUAAAGAUCAAAAUAUCCGAUGGAUGUCUCUGCUUCAGACGCCUUCUCCUAAGAUGCGCGAAGAGUUCUGGAUAUCGUCCAUGUCGUUGCUCUACGGUUUUCAGUACAGAGAAGCCAGUCGAAACUUGGCGAAACUCAUGUAUCACAUUAAUGCCGUUUAUAUUGUACGUAUAUAUUCCCACUUAAGCGUCUCAAGUAAAAGUGACCAGGUGGCUGUUGGACUGCACUGUGUCUUUCAUCAAGGGGAACAGCAUUCAAACUCGUUUGGGAAGCUUGGACCAGAUAAAAAUCCUUCCUUCGUGAGGACCUUGCUAGAGUAGCAAUGCCAUGACCCGAGGACACUGUUGCAGAACCCAAAACGAAGUAGAAUCAGAAUUUGAAUGAGACGGACUAGUUAAUGGAAUAAAUUUAAACCAAAUACCCAGAUUUUGCUUGGCACUUUUAAUUUAAAGUUCCCAGGGUCAAGGUUAUAGGAAAACCCUGAAUAAGUAGGUAUAUAUGACGAGAGCAUCAACUAAGUACCAUCUGAUCUGCUUAGACUUGCUCCAAUGGAUAAAUCCCUGUUUCCUUUUGUGAUUCCAUUCGAGCUGCUCACUCAACUUGCACUUGACAUUAUUGCGCUUGUUGGGAAAUAAACGAUUAUUAUGACAAACUGUU